GUCAGAGGAUCUCGUUCCCCCAACCAAACCCUAACCCGGCAGAGGCGGCAGCAGCACAUCCCACGGCCCCGCGCAUCCCUUCCCUGCGCGCCGCUCCGUCGACAACCUCCUUCGAGCUCCACCGACGACCUCCUCCUCGCCUUCUUCCGGGCCAAGACGGUCGAGAGAACUACCACUUCCCACCGCGCAAGGAAGGCGUGGAUUCAAUUUCUCGCGGACAGACGGACGGACGAGCAAGCGGCGCCGCGAGGAAGGAAAAGCCACCGACGCCCGCGCGGCGGAGGAGUGUGGAGCGGCCUCGGCGGCGGCUGCUGCGAUGGGGCUGCUUUCCAACUGGGUGGAGCGGUCGGACAUCUACACAUGGAGGGCCGUCUACGCAUACACCCACCACGAUGCCAGGCUCGUGAGGAAACCCAAGGCCACGGUUGCUCAACCACCAGUCGCAGGAACCCACCGAAGACGUACAACUUUGAAGCAUCUGAUGCUCACAAUGAGCUGGCAGUGGUCGAUUAUUUCAAAGACAUUUACAGGUUCUACAACAGGACUGAGUUCUUCUCUAUGUUGGCUGGAUUUAAUUCUGAGUUGAUUCCCAAAGGAAGUGAGAAGGAUGACCAAGCGAAGAAUAAGCGUUAUAUGAGUGAUAAGAGCCAGAAGCAGACCACAAAAUGUAGAGCAGAUGGUUGGCAUCCCUGCCUUGCACGCCCUCAUGAAGCUUUGACACGUUCUGCAUGUGCAUGGUUUUCACUUCCAGUGCCUCCUACUAGGGACUCUAAUGGAACCAAGGAUGAAAUUCCCUAGGUACCAAGGACUGCUCCUGCUCUUGAACUUGCUGACAUUGAUAUAGCAAUGGUAAUUACUGGCACUUAGGUGGACUAAAAUUUAGAUCUGGAAGCACCAUUGUUGUUCAGGCGCGACCUCGACGACCUUGGGACGUGGCGACAAGCGAGGAAGUAGUGCUUGGCCUGCAACUGACGUCCUUGUGAUCUCCUGGCCCUAGCCCUGGCACCUCAUGGCGAAGCCCUGGACGAGCUUCUGGCUAGGGAAUGGCGGCUGGCUUCAGGGAACUUGAGUGCAGCUGGGUGACACCCGCUAAUGAUCGACCUGGAGGUGAACAAGCUCGCCGGAUCGAUCAGACCUGGAGUGCAGCUGGGGACGAUCCAGUGAAUUGAUCGGACCAGGAGUGCAGCUGGGCGACGACCGACGAUCCAGUGGAUCGAUCAGGCCUGGAGUGAAGUUGGGCGACGAGCCUGUGGAUCGAUCGGGGCGAUCGGAGCUGGAUGCGCGCGCGUGGAUCGUGUGGCGAGCUGGGCCACGUGUGCGCAUGGAUGGGGAGGAACGAGUCUCCCUGGGGGAGGAGGAGAUGGCCGGGGGAGGAUCGAUUCCGGUGGAGAUGAGAAGCUGGCCGGUGGCGGAUUGAUUCCGGUGGCGGACGAUGGGGAAUCGAGAUCUGGAUUCGAAUUGUAGAUAGGGGUAUCGAUGUCUUUUUGUAGCGUUUUCACCUGGUCGGAACAGCUCCCCGACGUCUUAUAUUUCUAGACGGAGGGAGUAAUUAAUUAAUUAAUGAUCUCUCCAAGACCAAAUCCGGCCCAACGCGCCACCUCUCCUCCCGAAACCAAACCCACUCCCUUCCCAAUCCUCCCACCCAACCAAACCCUAACCCUAACCCGGCAGAGGCGGUGGCGCCCCCCACCCAGGCAGCAGCAGAUCCCACGGCCCCGCGCCGGGCUUUCUCGCCGGCGCGGGCGUGCAUCCCUUCCCUACGUGCCGCUCCGUCCAGCUCGCCUCGCUGCGGCGUCGCGCGUCUGGCCCUGCCGAACCCAACCAGGACGUAUGCGGCGACGAUCCAUCCGCAGCAACAACCUGACCAAGUCCUUGCCGCCGCUGCUGCUCUUCCUCGCGGCCUGAGUUUGCCGGCUCACGCGCCCCAUCCGUGCUCACGACCAGGAUCUCUCACACUCCAAUCAUGCUUCUACAGUAAGUACACCGGGGUUGCUGUUUCGGUGCUGCUGUCUACUGCCGUCCACGUCAUGCCGCUGCCGGUGUGCUCCCAAGGUCCAUUUUCCUCAGGUCACUGUCCAUUCCCGUCGCCGGCGCCCUCUGCUAGGUGCUGCGGUGGCGUUGCUCUCCACCAGGGCUACUGCUAGGUGCUACUACAUUCUUCAACUCGGACCUCCACCACAGCACCGCGUCCCACAAUCCGGACAACAAAAUCCGAGGUUAUGUUCAUGUACCGGUGGUGGUGCCUGCUGCUGCUGCUGAUGCCGUUGUGUCACCCAGCUGCCCCAGUUUUCUUCGAUUGGGACCUCCUACAGUACCGUGUUCCCGCUCGGUCACUGUCCUUUUCCGGUGGUGUUGCCCUCCGGUGGUGCUGUAGUACCGUGGUGGUGGUGUUCUGCAAAUGCUCCUGCUGGUGCUGCCUGCAUCCACUAAUGGCUGUUGCUCCUGGCUUCUUCGACUGGGUCUAUCGUACAGCGCCAUCCCCCCCAAAGAUCUCUCCUUCUCUCACCGUUUCUCUCUAUUUUCCUUGAACUGCGCCAUGUAUGUUUGCGUAGAAGUGAGGUUUGAUUUUCUUUUUACUACCUUGUUAGUCUGUGGUGAUGAUAAAUGUCUGAAUAUCUAUUCCUUUGUUGUAUGUGUGUUGCUUCCAGAGCAAAACAAUGCUAUAUUCCUUCGUUGCUAUUGACUGGCAUGCCUUGAUUGGUCUGGUUCUCACUAGACACUGUGCUCUGUUUUGGUCUUGUUGACUUGAUUAGGUUAUCUCUCUAGUAGAUUGGCUACUGUUUUUGGUUUAAUUUAUGCAUUAAAAGCAUUGUAAGGUUCAACUGAUUGAUUUGUAGCACAAUAUCGAUGAUUUGCUCAAAUACUAGACCUGGAUAGGUUUGCUAGCUCUUUACUUGUUUUGUUGGAGUAAAAUGAUUGUUCUUUAGCAGCAGCGAAGCAAACAAAGUUUACAUAUUUCAAAAGGGUUUAUUUGUUGCCAAUCACGUGGUUUCUUUUAAUACACGGGUUUUUGGAGUAAUCAAAUCAUUUGACAAGUUCCAACCUAUUUAUGCUUGUAUGAAUUCAAACUUGUCUAGACUGAUGUGUUGCUCUUGUUGGAUAAUACUAGCUGAUUAUUAAUCAACUACUUGUUGUACUACUACUAUUUAACAUCUUAUUUUGCAGCUAGAUUAAUUAAGUAACCGUGUGGAGAUAGAUUUCUCCCAUCUAUUUUUUUUGUAGAACCAUUGGUAGCACAUGCCUGUGAGGCUGUAAGUAAGUGGAUGAAAAGCAUUAGCAUGCAGAUUUUGUACACGAUACCGCUAUUUGCACAUCUAGUUUAUUUGCAAUUCUGAAUUGAUGGUUCAGUUAUGCUCAGGUUACGUUCCUGUAACGGUGGUGCCCUCUGGUUGUGCUGGUGCUGCUGGCGUCUGCGUCGCCGAGCUGCCCCUGUUUUCUUCGACUGUGGUGGUGCUGCUGCUGGCACGGCUUCUUUAGCCCGGAUGUGCCCCUGGUCUGCGUAGUUGGUGGUCUCGCUUGCCGACGGGUCGGUGCCUCUCCUCCUCCUACUGAGACAACAUCGGCAAAUAGAUGGCUCAGGGUUUCUGUUUGCUGGUUGCACUUAAUGGAGCUGAUCUGGACUACUAUAUCAAAGUGGUCAAUUUGUUGUGAGUCAACGCAAUGCUGGCUUAUAAUGAUGCAUGAAUUCUAUUGUUUCUUGUUUCAAAUGCCUGCCGCUGCUUAUCUUGAAACAUUGAUUGCUUUGCUGACCAUUCCAUUUUUUGUUUGUUUUGAGGAUGAGUACUAAAUGGCAACGGUGGCCUUCUUCUUUGACCACAUGAGGUUUGGUAGCAGCUGGGGCCAGAUGCAUCUCUUGGAAGCAAGCUGGCUGGAAAGACCUUGGGGACAAGGAUAUGUCACCAAGCGAUGUCUCUUGGUCCCGAUUCCCGAAGCAGCAGCUGGGCUCCUAGCAAGCAUCUUGAUUAGCUUGAUGUAUAUGGUCGCAAUGCAUGGGCAACCUGAUGCAUGUGUUGUUUUGCUGAUCGUCCCAAGACUGAAUUGUAUGAGAUGUGCUGUAUGCACCUCAUCUUUGUUCAUAUGAAUUGUUUGCUGUGUGAUCUGGGUGUCCGAAAAACCAAGAAGGUCAAUCCAAAAAAUUUAAUUUUCUGUGAUCUCAA